CUCCCUUUCUCUCUCGCUCUCCCGCCGGGCGCGCGCACCACAGCAGCGGAGAGAGAGACGCGCAGAGAGAGCAUGGGGCGCGCGGAUCGGCUGGAAUAAGAAACAUUUCCCAACACUUUUACAAACUUUCUCAACUCGGCCGACAGAUAUGGAUAUCAUCAUUUUGAGCACAUUGCUCCUGCUUGCGGUGUUUGGGGGCGCAGGAGCCCAGUACACACCCGGCGGCUGCACCUUUGAUGACGGUCCAGCACAAUGCGAUUACCAGCAGGACCCGUAUGACGACUUCGACUGGACACAUGUCAGUGCUCAAGAAGUGCCGUUCCUGCCCUCUGACCUGCCCCAGGGUGAGUCCUACACACCACUGCAUCAAACACACUCUGAAUGGCGUAGGGGUGGGUCCGCUCACAAAACUCUCGGUUCAGUUUUUAGUUUUCUGAAAAAAAAAUCUCCUAUUUUAACACUUUUGUUAAACAUACCACACAGCUGAAGUCAGAAUCAUAAGCCCUCC
rnacentral:lncRNA from 8 species